GACGAACGCUGGCGGCGUGCUUAACACAUGCAAGUCGAACGGAAAGGCCCUGCUUUUGUGGGGUGCUCGAGUGGCGAACGGGUGAGUAACACGUGAGUAACCUGCCCUUGACUUUGGGAUAACUUCAGGAAACUGGGGCUAAUACCGGAUAGGAGCUCCUGCUGCGUGGGGGGGGUUGGAAAGUGUCGGCGGUUGGGGAUGGACUGGCGGGUUAUCAGCUUGUUGGUGGGGUAGUGGCUUACCAAGGCUUUGACGGAAAGCCGGCCUGAGAGGGUGACCGGCCACAUUGGGACUGAGAGACGGACCAGACUCCUACGGGCGGCAGCAGUCGGGAAUCUUGCACAAUGGGCGGAAGCCUGAUGCAGCAACGCCGCGUGCGGGAUGACGUCCUUCGGGUUGUAAACCGCUUUCGCCUGUGCCGAAGAGUGCGUGACGGUAAUGGGUAAAGAAGCACCGGCUAACUACGUG
rnacentral:rRNA from 1 species